rnacentral:rRNA from 1 species
AAAAACAUAUUUUAUAGAAAUAAUUAUAAAUACAUCCUGCUCAAUGAAUUAUUAAAUAGCCGCAGUUCAUACUGUGCUAAGGUAGCAUAAUCAUUUGUCUUUUAAUUAAAGACUAGAAUGAAAGGAUUAACAUUUAAAUCAUUAUUAAAAAUUUUCUACUUAAAUUUAUUUUAAAUGUUAAAAAACAUUUAUUCUAAGAAAGACGAAAAGACCCUAUUGAACUUCACUAAUGUUUAACUGGGGCAGUUAAUUAAUAAAUAUUUUAAUAUUUAAAUAUAAAUAAAUGACCCGAUCAAAUCGAUUUAAUGAUCAAGUUACCAUAGGGAUAACAGCGUAAUAUUUUUUCAUAGAUCUUAUACAAAAAAAUGUUUGCGACCUCGAUGUUGAAUUAAUUUAUCUAGUAAAUGCAACAAUUUAAAAAGAAAGUCUGUUCGACUUUUAAAUAAUUACAUGAUCUGAG